UAGUCUACUUUUUAUUUAGAAUUAAAAUUAAUUAUAAAAUCAAAUUACAUAAGCAAGUGUAGCGAAAAACUAAAUUUGUGAGAGAAAAUGCUUCCUGGCGCGCUUCCCAGGACUCCCGUGACUCUUCCCUGGCUUUAGUUUCCUCCGCAGCUCAGCCAUCUCUCCACCGCGACUCUAUGCCGGCAACCACCGUCUCAAACUUUCCGACCAGAAUUUUCUUUUGUUUUUAGAAUCCUGAUGUUGAGGGCUACUGAUUCACGGUGUCAGUUUUCGUGUGGGGUGCUUUCUCUGUGUUAGAUCUUGGAUCUAAAUAUCUUCACGGGGUGAUUUUGACCGAAACUUUUUUCCUAUUACUCAUUGCUGGUUUAUACUGUCGAUUACAGUUCCCACCUCAUCUCUGAGGUUUCUACUUGCUCCUCCGUCUCUUAACCACGAGCCUCUCCUCCGCUGAUGUCGUCGCCUCUCAUUCCUUCCCGAAGCUUUUCCCCUUCUCUGUCAAUGGAGUCUCCUGAAGCUGUUUCAUCUGUUUUUCUUCCCCUGCCGCCUGAACCACCAGAUCCCGACCUGGACGUGAUGCUUCUGGUGGAUCAUCCUGUCCCUCCAGGUCCCCCCCACCCUCCACCGAUUCUCAUAGAUGCAAGUGUGCUAUUUGUUCAGCCUCUGUUGAUGCAUCCUUUACUGGCUGAAGCCGAUCUCUCCAGCUCUCUCACCACUAGACGGGUCUCCUUACUCCAUCCGGUGUCAAAGCCGAGAAACUUGGUUUCUUGUGGGGAACAUGUUUCCUUUAAGUCAUCCUUACGGAAGGUGCCUUACUAUCAACAAGAGGCGGGAGUUAUUGAGAUCUCUGUUGCAAGGUUUUUGGGGUUACUAACAGCUGACUGCAAAUUUACUCGUCACUUCAAGUUCUCGAGGAAUGGACUUCGAAUGUUGAAAUUUUGGCGGUGGUGGGUUUUUUGUACGCGGUUUUUAUUACCUCAGUGCAACCUUUUGGAGUGCAGCUCUCUACUGCUAUGUGCAGUUCUCAGUCAAAGCAUAUCCUUCAUUUGAAACCUUGGUCACAUGUUGUUGGACCCAUCUCCCCUUGCUUCAUGCUUUCGCAAGGUUUGAAUAUCUGGCCAUGGUGGCUCGCCUCACAGCAAUCAAUCUUUUGGAAGAGGUGUUUGGUCGCCUCUGUUUGUUGUUGUGUCCUAUCCAAUCGGGUAUGUUGAGAACUUCCCGACUUGGUCGGCUAAUGGAACAUGGAUAGUGAGUUCUACUCAAAGCACCGAAGCUGUAACGCUGCAGAAAGCUCCUCACUCAACAUUUUCAUCUGGAUUUUCAAGUCUUCAGAUUCUAGCGGACUCGAUUGUCCUCUUCUUUGCCCUGCGCACGGGGUUGGUUUUGAUUGAGAUUACAGGUUCCUUUAUCGUUAGGAACCUUGUCCCUCUCGUCAUUCCGUUAUCAUGUUGUUAUAAUCUAUGCACAACCUUCUGUUUAGUUGUUGUUGCUUUUGCAAUGGGUGGUGUCUCCAAACUUUGUUCUUCAAGUACUCUGGUUUGAGUU